GCCGUGGAAUGUCUUAACAAGAUAGGAACGUAAAAUAAUAUCACCAUUGGCAUGUAUAACCAUUCAAGUCCGACCUAGGCUUUCAUCCCGGAGUUGGAGACCGGAUGCUCGUAGCACCACCAUCAAAGUCACACGUCAAGUUCGCCUUUCUUCUUCGUCGGCAGGGGAGAGGAAGACUAAAGAGACGAGAUGUACGUAUGUACGUACGUCAACCUCGUUGGUAGCGUGGAACGUGGAGCACGUACGUUCCUGCAUUCCGCUCGCUUGAUUGAUUACCACUCCUGUUAGGAAUUGAAGCCGGUGGUUAGCUCGACUCGCUGCACGACACGGCACGACGCAUGCUGCACUGCAAAGCGCAAAGCGUGUGUGGAAUAUGGCAAGGGCGUUCGUUGCUGGUAGUACGUACAUUCAUAUGGAUGUCCCCGAUCCGGCAGCACGCACGCCUUGUCGUCGUUGGUCCGCUAAUAACUCCUGCAACGAAUUGAUAGACCCAUCAUCAACCGCGCCACCCGCACCCGCACCCAGCUAAUAAGCUAACCACCACUAGCUAGCUUUAACACCAACUUAAUCAACUCAGUCGAAAAUGCCCGUUCCAAGCCCGGGAUAUUUCUCGUGAGCCUGCAGCGUUGUUUCUCAGUUCUCACCGCCUGAUCGCUCUUCUCUUCUCUUGGUGGUAGUAGGAGCCAG
rnacentral:lncRNA from 1 species